rnacentral:tRNA from 1 species
GCGGAAUAGAGCAGUCUGGUAGCUCGUUGGAUUUAGGUUCCAAAAAUCGGUGGUUCAAAUCCACCUUCUGCCCCA